CCUACGGGAGGCAGCAGUGGGGAAUAUUGCGCCAUGGGCGAAAGCCUGACGCAGCGACGCCGCGUGAGGGAUGAAUGUCUUCGGAUCGUAAACCUCUGUCAGCAGGGAAGAACGGUCACUGUGCUAAUCAGCAGUGAAUUGACGGUACCUGCAAAGGCAGCACCGGCUAACUCCGUGCCAGCAGCCGCGGUAAUACGGAGGAUGCGAGCGUUAUCCGGAUUUAUUGGGUUUAAAGGGUGCGUAGGCGGACUGGAAAGUCAGCGGUAAAAUCGAGAGGCUCAACCUCUUUCCGCCGUUGAAACUGUCGGUCUGGAGUGGGCGAGAAGUAUGCGGAAUGCGUGGUGUAGCGGUGAAAUGCAUAGAUAUCACGCAGAACUCCGAUUGCGAAGGCAGCAUACCGGCGCCCGACUGACGCUGAGGCACGAAAGCGUGGGUAUCGAACAGGAUUAGAUACCCAAGUAGUC
rnacentral:rRNA from 1 species